rnacentral:lncRNA from 1 species
GGUUGCGAUCAUACCAGCACUAAUGCACCGGAUCCCAUCAGAACUCCGCAGUUAAGCGUGCUUGGGCGAGAGUAGUACUAGGAUGGGUGACCCCCUGGGAAGUCCUCGUGUUGCAACCCCCUUUUUUUGUUUUUUGGUUUAUUUUAUUUACCGGUCGAUGUUUCUUUGGCGUAGCAUGCGGGUGGCCGUUGAUGUGUGCGCGCGCGCGCACGGCGGGCCCGAGACGCGUAACGUAGGCCACACAUGAGAGCAUAGGUGGGCAUGGGAUCAAGGCGUGGAAAGGUAUAAAGGAAUAAGGAGCUUGUAUUCUUUCGGUUGCGAUCAUACCAGCACUAAUGCACCGGAUCCCAUCAGAACUCCGCAGUUAAGCGUGCUUGGGCGAGAGUAGUACUAGGAUGGGUGACCCCCUGGGAAGUCCUCGUGUUGCAACCC